ACACAUGCAAGUCGAGGGGCAGCAUCGCGAUAGCUUGCUAUUGCGGAUGGCGACCGGCGCACGGGUGAGUAACGCGUAUCCAACCUUCCCGCAACUGGGGAAUAACCUUGCGAAAGUAAGACUAAUACCCCAUGGUCUCCACGGAUGGCAUCUGAAGUGGAGUAAAGGUUCCGGCCGGUUGCGGAUGGGGAUGCGUCCGAUUAGCUUGACGGCGGGGUAACGGCCCACCGUGGCAUCGAUCGGUAGGGGUUCUGAGAGGAAGGUCCCCCACAUUGGAACUGAGACACGGUCCAAACUCCUACGGGAGGCAGCAGUGAGGAAUAUUGGUCAAUGGGCGGAAGCCUGAACCAGCCAAGUAGCGUGAAGGACGACUGCCCUAUGGGUUGUAAACUUCUUUUAUGCGGGGAUAAAGUUCGCCACGUGUGGCGUUUUGCAGGUACCGCAUGAAUAAGGACCGGCUAAUUCCGUGCCAGCAGCCGCGGUAAUACGGAAGGUCCAGGCGUUAUCCGGAUUCAUUGGGUUUAAAGGGAGCGUAGGCCGCCUUUUAAGCGUGUUGUGAAAUGUAGGGGCUCAACCCCUGCACUGCAGCGCGAACUG
rnacentral:rRNA from 1 species